GCGAACCUACGGGACGCAGCAGUAGGGAAUUUUCGUCAAUGGGCGCAAGCCUGAACGAGCAAUGCCGCGUGAGUGAAGAAGUAUUUCGGUAUGUAAAGCUCUAUCAGCAGGGAAGAAAAUGACAGUACCUGACUAAGAAGCCCCGGCUAACUACGUGCCAGCAGCCGCGGUAAUACGUAGGGGGCAAGCGUUAUCCGGAUUUACUGGGUGUAAAGGGAGCGUAGACGGCUGCGCAAGUCAGAAGUGAAAGCCCG
rnacentral:rRNA from 1 species